rnacentral:rRNA from 1 species
AUUGAACGCUGGCGGCAGGCCUAACACAUGCAAGUCGAGCGGCAGCGGGAAAGUAGCUUGCUACUUUUGCCGGCGAGCGGCGGACGGGUGAGUAAUGCCUGGGAAAUUGCCCAGUCGAGGGGGAUAACAGUUGGAAACGACUGCUAAUACCGCAUACGCCCUACGGGGGAGAGCAGGGGACCGUCGGGCCUUGCCCGAUUGGAUAUGCCCAGGGGGGAUUAGCUAGUUGGUGAGGUAAUGGCUCACCAAGGCGACGAUCCCUAGCUGGUCUGAGAGGAUGAUCAGCCACACUGGAGCUGAGACACGGUCCAGACUCCUACGGGAGGCAGCAGUGGGGAAUAUUGCACAAUGGGGGAAACCCUGAUGCAGCCAUGCCGCGUGUGUGAAGAAGGCCUUCGGGUUGUAAAGCACUUUCAGCGAGGAGGAAAGGUUGAUGCCUAAUACGUAUCAACUGUGACGUUACUCGCAGAAGAAGCACCGGCUAACUCCGUGCCAGCCGCCGCUGUAA